UACAGUUCUCUAUAUUAUCCAAAGAGACAAAGAGAUGUAUCAAUUUAUACAAUCGAUUCUCUUAUUUACGGCCACUUGUCAUCGCGUUACGUAUAAAUUUAUUUGCGGUAGUGACAUUGAUAAUUGAUUUAUAGAUGAGUAAUUCGCAUUAGAUCAGAAGCUAAAUAGCAACGUGAUGUCCCUAUGUAUUAUUCCACAUAUUUUAUUCAUGGAUUAAUGGGCCCCAUUUACGAGAGAUUGAACAAUUAUUCAUAGCCCGAUACACAUACAUAGUCGAGGAAAACAAGUAAACUGACGUCGUCGAAAGGAUAGUAGCUCUUUGCGAGCAAUCUUUGGGACGACCUACAAAUGUCGAGAGGUCAUCACCGGUCAUAUAUAAUGACACCGCGUUACAAACCAGUAUGAGCUUGAGGUUAACGUGCGCCGUGGCGUCAUUCAAUGACAUCAUGUAAUCAGACCCAUGGUCAG